rnacentral:misc_RNA from 1 species
CCUGUCCGAGCGCUACAAGUCCACUCAAGCACUGCUUGAUCUUGGGCCGAGCCAGCAACGGCGGGCCUCAAAUCUAGUGGCGGCGCUGCCUGGCUCCGAGCGUAGCAACACCUCUCGCUCUCGAGCCUGGCAGUAGGCGACCAGCAACCCCCAAUUUUCAGGUUAGCCUCGGAUCAGGUAGGAAUACCCGCUGAACUUAA